rnacentral:tRNA from 1 species
GUCCCUAUAGUUUAAAAAAAAAUAUUUUAUUUUCAUUAAAAAGAUAAUUAUAAAUUUAUGGAUU